GGGUGCGGGAGGGCGCUGUGGGGAGCCGGGCUGGCGGCUGGGGCCAGGCCUGGCGGAUCCCCUCCAGCCACGCGAGUCCUUUGCGUAGGACUGGGCUUGAAGCUGGAUGUGAAAAGGAGCCACGUCACAGCCACAGCCCCAGUCUGGGCCCGGAUGGGGGUGAGCAGUGACAUGGACCUCCUCGAGUGCAGAACACCGUGCGCCCCGAAGACUUCCCUGUGGGAAAACAGCUGCAAAACUGCUCGUGAUUAUUCAUCCUCCCAAUAAACACAUGGAGGGAAAACCCUGGCAAAGAUAUUCCUCCGUUAUAUACACCCUCCUUUACAUA
rnacentral:lncRNA from 1 species